AGUGCGCAGUAUUCUUUCUCUUCGGGUUCAUCGCUGGAGCAAGACGCGAUCACACGCUACUCGCUGAGAAAUCGCGUUUCUAAAUUUAAUAGUGAUUUUAGGAUCUCUAGUUUGAAGGAAAAAGCAACUUUUUCCUUGCAAAUUUUAAACUUGCAUCCCGUGGAAGUGAAGAGCAGUUUAUUUUACGGAAUUAACCGCAUUCGGGGCUCUUAGUACCUAGUAGAAAGUGUAACCGAGUUAAGUGUUAAGGCAGAAAAAGUAAAAUGGCCGAUCAGGAUCAAGAGAUGAACGGAAACGGUCAAGACCAGCAGGACCACAACGGAGACCAGAAGGAGAACGGAGCCGAGGGCUCGUCGGUUCGUGAUGACGACAGAAAAUUAUUCGUUGGUGGACUUAGUUGGGAAACAUCAGACAAGGAACUGAAGGAACACUUUGGCCAGUAUGGUGAAAUCGAGAGCAUAAACGUCAAGACAGAUCCCAACACGGGUCGCUCGCGAGGAUUCGCCUUCAUCGUGUACAAGAAUGCCGACUCGAUCGAUAAGGUCGUCGCCGCCGGCGAUCACGUCAUCAACAACAAGAAGGUCGACCCAAAGAAGGCCAAGGCCCGUCACGGCAAAAUUUUCGUCGGUGGACUGACCACGGAGAUCAGUGAUGAAGAGAUCAAGACCUUCUUCGGACAGUUUGGCAAUAUCGUCGAAGUCGAGAUGCCAUUCGACAAGCAGAAGAAUCAGCGCAAGGGCUUCUGCUUCAUCACCUUCGACUCGGAGCAGGUGGUGAACGAACUGCUCAAAACGCCAAAGCAAACCAUCUCCGGCAAGGAGGUGGACGUAAAGAAAGCUACUCCCAAACCCGACAACAUGGGAAUGGGUGGUCCGAUGGGUGGACGUGGUGGCAUGCGUGGACCGCCGCGAGGUGGCUUCCGAGGUGGACGCGGGGGACCUGGAGGACCCAAAAGCUACGGACAAAGCUGGGGCGGACAAGGAGGAUACGGCGGCAGCGGCGGUUAUGGCAACCAGGGCGGAUAUGGAUACGGUGACUAUUAUGGUGGCGAUUGGGCGGGAUGGGGCUACAACGGUUAUGAUUACUCCCACUACGACGACUACUACGGAGGCUACAACGACGGUUACGGCAACGGCGGUGGUCGACUUGGUGGUCCUCGCGGGGGUAAAGGCUCCGGCGGUGGUGGUGGAGGCGGCGGUGGCGGCGGAUAUCAGGGCGGUAAGCAGCGAGGUGGAGGCGGUGGCAACCGCCAGCCAAGGCAUACGCCGUACUAGAUGCUGCAGACAGUGGACACAGCGUCCUUUCCCUUUUAAUUACUAUAGACUAGUAGUUUAGCGCCCCCUCCAAAACAACCCUUUAAAUACUAGCGAGAUAAGCCCCCGUAAUAAUUCCUAUUCGAGAUCCAAGAAGACAGCGAGUGAAUGAGAGAGAGCAUAGGUGGAGCGUGUGAGAGAACUGAACAUGUAGAGAGAUAAAAUUCUUCCGCUACACACACUGAAUACACACACGGGACAUCCCGUCCACACUGGAGAAGAGGGAAGGCAGCAACAGUCGUACACCUUCCAGGGAUCCAAGUUUCCCACCGUGACUACUCUUCAACAUGAUUCUCUUGUUGGCUGUUUGGAUUUGAAGUAUCUGGAUCAAGAUAAUCUCCCUCUUUCUAUACUCGUUAACCCAAAAAUACACAGAACAAAACAGGACUGAUGAAUACAUUUAGUUGUCGUGUCCCCCCCCCCAUUCUCUCGUCAUAACUCUGUAUGUAUUUAAUGUGCAUGCAAGCACGAUAAAAGUAAGACAAAUUGGAUACUUAAGUGUGCAUGCACACACAAACACACGCGUCCAUUGAUGGACGCCUAAACACGUAGGAUUGUGGAGUAUGUAAUCUUUAAAUUAUAUUGUUGAACAAUUUUUUCCUUGUGGCAUUUAAAAAGCAAAAGAUUAUUUUCCGUAACUACACAGACUAGUGAGUAUGUAUGCAAACUGCCUAUGAUAGGCAGUUGAAAAACAAGAAGAAGAAAAAACUGAUGCAAAGCUGACGGACAGAAAGCAAGUAGAUAAUACUCCCCCACUAAUUUAUAUAUUUGCCCCUAGCGAGUAAGAACACUGACAAUUUAAAGCAAAAACAAAAAUUCAACUAUUUACAUAUAUUUUAUGUAGAUUAAAAGGCUCCAAACAACAAUAACAUCUCUAUAAUGUAUUAUAUUUUUAAAACACACAAUUCACUGAAUAAAAGCAGUCUCAGUCGCCAAACAAUAGAA